GACAAACGCUGGCGGCGUGCUUAACACAUGCAAGUCGAACGAUGAAGCCGGAGCUUGCUCUGGUGAAUUAGUGGCGAACGGGUGAGUAGCACGUGAGUAACCUGCCCUUGACUCUGGGAUAACUGCGGGAAACUGUAGCUAAUACCGGAUACGACCCUCGGAGGCAUCUCCAGGGGGUGGAAAGAAUUUCGGUCAAGGAUGGACUCGCGGCCUAUCAGCUAGUUGGUGAGGUAACGGCUCACCAAGGCGACGACGGGUAGCCGGCCUGAGAGGGUGACCGGCCACACUGGGACUGGGACACGGCCCAGACUCCUACGGGAGGCAGCAGUGGGGAAUAUUGCACAAUGGGCGCAAGCCUGAUGCAGCAACGCCGCGUGAGGGAUGACGGCCUUCGGGUUGUAAACCUCUUUUAGUAGGGAAGAAGCGAAAGUGACGGUACCUGCAGAAAAAGCACCGGCUAACUACGUGCCAGCCGCCGCGGUAA
rnacentral:rRNA from 1 species